rnacentral:rRNA from 1 species
GACGAACGCUGGCGGCGUGCUUAACACAUGCAAGUCGAACGUGAUUUUUGUGGAAAUUCUUUCGGGAAUGGAAAUGAAAUGAAAGUGGCGAACGGGUGAGUAACACGUGAGCAACCUACCUUACACAGGGGGAUAGCCGUUGGAAACGACGAUUAAUACCGCAUGAGACCACAGAAUCGCAUGAUAUAGGGGUCAAAGAUUUAUCGGUGUAAGAAGGGCUCGCGUCUGAUUAGCUAGUUGGAAGGGUAAAGGCCUACCAAGGCGACGAUCAGUAGCCGGUCUGAGAGGAUGAACGGCCACAUUGGAACUGAGACACGGUCCAAACUCCUACGGGAGGCAGCAGUGGGGAAUAUUGCACAAUGGGGGGAACCCUGAUGCAGCGACGCCGCAUGAGCGAAGAAGGUUUUCGAAUCGUAAAGCUCUGUCCUAUGAGAAGAUAAUGACGGUAUCAUAGGAGGAAGCCCCGGCUAAAUACGUG